rnacentral:lncRNA from 1 species
GCUCAAGUUGGGGGGGGAGAGACGAAACACCAAACUUGGAUAAGAUGCUUUGAUGAGAAGAUCCAGAAAGGGAUUUAGUGGACAUAUCUACAAGUUGGUCAUUUGAAGGAGUAAAUUACAGAGAUAUAAAGCCAAAAAGGUACUGUUGACGGACGAAAUGAUAGUCAAGUUCCACAUGUUUCGUUCUUUUAUGAAAAACAGAAUUGUGGGCGAUAUGGAUCACGGCUUAACUGUAGGAAUAAACUGACACCGGUAACGGAGGAAGAACAAACAGAUCUUCAAAUAGGAAAACUAACUAAGUUAUUUCGACGGUGAUUUUUCUCAUGGAGCGAUACUUGGCUUUAGCGAAAGAGAGAGAAGUUGAAGCUUGCUUCUUUGAUUUUCAGGAGAUUGGAAAUCCACCAAAUAUAAUUAAAAAGCCAUAAAUCCAACGACAGAUGUCUUUGCAGGACCCCAAUCGGCACGGCAAAAAGCUAAAAGUGACAAAGAAGGGUAAGAAAAUAAGAGAAUACCUUGCUCGGGAUCCAAGUUGAGACAUUUCAAAUCUCGAAGUGCCGCAUAAAAAUAGGAAUAAUAAGGCCUUUACAUGAACUGACUAAGCUUCAACACCGAAAAGGCUAGAUCUGGGCGAGUAUGAGUUAGGUAAUUCAUCUUUCCAACUAGAUGUCUAAAUACUGUAGGAUUAGGAAUAGGUGUAUCAACAUUCGCCUGUAAUUUGGUAGAUGCGUCCAAAGGUGAAGUAACCUUAGGAAUUUUUGAACAAUCAAAUUCAUUGAGUAGGUCUGGAGCAAACUUUCAUUGACUAAUGAUAAAUCCCUGUUCUUCCAUGCCUAGGAAGUAAUGAAAUAUCACCCAAAUCUUUUACUCUAAAUUUGGAAUUUAAGAACGAUUUAAUAAUUGCAAUCUCAACAAGAUUGUCCCCUGUCAACAAGAUGUCAUCGACAUAUUCAACUGGGAUAGAAAUAAGAUACCCUGAGGCUUGUAAAAUAAUGAAUAAUCCUUUCAAGAGGUAGUGUAUCCCUUAUAAGUAAGAGCACCAGCCCUCCUAGAAUAUCAUUGACGAAAGGCCUUUUUUAGACCAUAUAGGGACUUUUUAAUUAAACAGACCUGAUUUAUUGAAGUAAGAAUGAGGCCAUAGGGAAAUUUCACAAAGACUUCUUCCUCAUAGGAUUCAUGUAAAAAGGCAUUGUUCACAUCUAACAGUGAAACUGCUCAAAUUUUUUUUGAUUGCAACAUCCAACAGACACCUUAUAGUUGUCAUUUUAACAACCAAGGAGAAAAUCUCACUGUAAUCAAUACGCUCUUUUUGGAUAUCCCCCUCACAAGCAAUCUUGUCUUAUAUCUUUCUAUGGGACCAUCUGACAGAAGUUUUAUCUUGUAAAACCAUUUGCAAGGUAAAACUUUUUUCCCUAUAGGUAAAUCAACCACAUCUCAAGUAUCAUUCAAUUGCAAGGCUGUAAUUUCUGCAUCCAUUACAGCCUAUCACUCAGGGUAAGUUACAUCUUGUGAAUAACAGGUGGGUUCUGAAUAAGAAUUGCUAGAGUGUAAAAAAUAUUGAUUGGGUUUAGAUAAGGCAUUGAAAGAGAGAAUACAAGUAGAGGGAGGGGUAUCAAAACAAGAAUCAAAGGUUUGUGAGAUAGACACCAUUACAUACAAAAUCAUGAAGGUAUCUUAGGUUUUUGGGAAAUCCUACUUGAUCUUUUAGGAGGGGCAACAGGUGAAGAAGAAAGUUCUUAUGGAGGGAGAGGGAUAAGAUGGUCUAUUGAUUAUGAAGGGUUAGGAUCAAUGUUUAGUUAAGGAAUUUGUGAUUGUAAGGUAGAAUACUGUGGAGUUGAGAUAAUUUUGAUUUAAAUCUGAAAAUAUAUCCAAGGAAGGAUUAGGAGAUGGAAAAUUUUGAGAAGGUGAGGUAGAAACUUCAGCAAAAGAAAAAUUGCUUUCAUAAAAAAUAACAUUCCUAGGGACAAAAACUUUUCUAAUUUUGAAAUUCAUGACUUUAUAUCCUUUUUGUUCUUGGGGAUAUCCUAGUAAUACACAUUUGUAAAUCUAGGAUCAAAUUUUAUUCUUUCUUGAGACAAGGUUGAGUAAUAACAAAAACAACCAAAAGUUUUUAAAAAUGAAUAAUCAGGUAAUUAAUUUUUAAAAAACCCAUAGGGUGAUUUCCCUUUCAAAAUCUUGGAGUGGGUGACUGUGAGUACACACUCACCCCAAUAUGACCAUGGUUUUAAGUAUAUUACGACCACGGUUUGCACGCCAUAGUGAGUGAGGCACUAAGAUGUCACAGGAUAUGCUUAUUGUCUCAAUGACAUCCCCAACAUUCAUCCCACGCUGAGCUAUAAAAGGCCUUGGGGACAUCGACUUUUGCAUCUCCUUCAAGCAUUUCAACAACUUUGUUCAUGGCAGGAUUAUCAGCUGGCUUCAUCUGUAUGCACCAUAUAACCAUAAUCAUAAUUUUCUUAACCAUCCUCUAAUUUUCCUCACUUGUAUUAUGCAUAUCUAUAUCAUUUCCUUCAUUAAAUUGCUCAUAAACCCAUGUAGGAAAGUACAUUUUGCUCAAGUGAUCCGUGAAUGGGUUCAAGUUCUUCCUUCUGCCAGCCAUUUCCAUCAACAGCAUGUCAUAACUAUAUACAAUGGAUUUGUAUGACACUCCUCUAAAAUUUUUAUAAAACAACUCUGGAGCUG